rnacentral:lncRNA from 1 species
AAUAAGUGAGGAUGAUUCACUCUCAUCUCCUCCUCGAGCUCCCAGGUGGCUUCGCGGUCACUAUGAUUGCUCCACCGGACUCGAAUAUAAGGAAUUUCGCGACUUCUCAACUUGCGCACUUCUCGAGCUAGAAUGUCUACCGGAAACUCUUCGUAGCUCAUAUCUUCCUGUAGUUCUGGUGGCUCGUAGACCAAGACGUGCUUAGGGUCAUGCACAUACUUGCGGAGAUUGGAGACGUGAAAUACAUUGUGCACACCCGCGAGCUUGGGUGGCAACGCAAGCCGGUAGGCCACCGUCCCAAUCCGCUCCAAGAUUUCGUAGGGGCCAAUAUAACGAGGACUUAGCUUCCCUCGCACCCCAAACCUUUUCACGCCUCUCAUCGGCGAAACUUUUAAGAAGACGCGGUCACCCACCGCGAAUUCCAAGUCUCUACGGCGCCUAUCCGAAUAAUUCUUCUGUCGAGAUUGCGCCGUGAGCAAUCUCUUGCGAGCAAGGUGGACUUUCUCCUCCGCCUCUCGCAACACGUCGGGACCGAAUUCCGCCCGCUCGCCCACAUCACUCCAAUGAAUGGGAGAUCGGCACUUCCGCCCGUAAAGAGCCUCGAACGGUGCCAUCCCCACACUCGCGUGAUAACUAUUAUUGUAGGCGAACUCGGCCAUCGGCAGGUGCUUACACCAACUCCCCUUGUAGUCAAUGGCACACGCCCGCAACAUAUCCUCCAGGGUCUGAAUGGUUCUCUCUGUCUGCCCAUCAGUCUGAGGAUGAAAGGCGGUACUGAACUCGAGUCGCGUGCCAAGGGCUUCCUGCAGGCUUCUCCAAAAGUGUGAAGUAAACUUGGGGUCUCGGUCUGAUACAAUCGAUUUCGGCACCCCAUGUAACCUCACAAUCUCGUUGAGGUAUACUUGCGCGAGUUUAUCGCCUGCCCAAGUAUUGUGGAUCGGCAGAAAGUGCGCUGAUUUCGUCAAGCGAUCCACAAUUACCCAAAUCGCGUCGUGGCCACCCGUCGAACGAGGUAAGCCGACGAUGAAAUCCAUCGAUACGUCAUCCCAUUUCCAGACGGGAAUAGACAAACUUUGCAGCUUCCCCGCUGGAAACCGGCGCUCCGCCUUCACCUGCUGGCAAACUAGACACUUCGCUACGAAGCGCCCAAUAUCAGUCUUCAUUCCCGGCCACCAAUAUAGUGUCUUUAGCUCAUGAAACAUCUUGGUGCCGCCCGGGUGGUCGACAUAAGGAGACCAAUGUGCUUCCUGCAAAAUCAACUUGCGAAGCUCCUCGUCACUUGGCACACACCACCGGUUUCGAAACCGUAGUGCACCACUAGCAUCCACACUGAAAUCCCCACCGCGGCCACUUUCAACAUUGUGCCGCACCUUCUGGAGAUUCGGAUCCGCGGAUUGUAAAUCCUGGAUCCUUUCCAACAAAGUGGGUUGGACCACCAACGCCAUCAACCUAGUCGGAAUUUCUGGAGCCACCACCUCAAGAUCCAUUUUCCCCAUUUGCAACUGUAGGGGCGUCUGAUUGGUAACCCACAAGGCGAGAUUCUCCGCCGACUUCCGACUAAGCGCAUCUGCGACUACAUUUGCUUUUCAGGGGUGGUAAAGGAUAUCAACAUCGUAAUCCUUAAGCAACUCCAACCACCGCCGUUGCCGCAUAUUCAGCUCCUUCUGGGUAAACAAGUACUUCAAACUUUUAUGGUCGGUGUAGAUCUCGCAAUGAGCGCCAUAUAGAUAGUGUCUCCAAAGCUUCAGAGCAAAGAUCACCGCCGCCAACUCCAAGUCAUGUAUGGGGUAGUUCUUCUCGUAGCUUUUCAACUGACGGGACGCAUAAGCAAUGACCCUUCCACCUUGCAUCAGCACACACCCCAAACCCAGAUAAGACGCGUCGCUAAACACCACAUAGUCAUCACCCUGCAUCGGUAAGGCGAGUACCGGGGUUGAAGUUAAUCUCCCCUUCAACUCUUUAAAACUUCGGUCACACUCGUCGCUCCAAACAAACCGGGUGCCUUUCUGCGUCAGACGGGUGAGUGGAAUCACAAUCUUCGAGAAGCCCUCCACAAACCGUCGGUAGUAACCUGCUAGGCCCACAAAACUCCGGACCUCAGCAACACUCGUCGGGCGUGGCCAAUUCUCAAUAGCCUCUACUUUCCUCGGGUCAACAGAAACACCGCCCUCGGAAAUAACAUGCCCGAGAAAAGCGACUUCUCGGAGCCAGAAGUCACACUUCUUUAGCUUUGCGUACAACUUCUUCUCCCGAAGGAUUUGAAGUACGGUGCGCAAAUGCUUCGCAUGCUCCUCCUCGUCACGCGAAUAGACCAAGAUGUCGUCUAUAAAGACUACGACAAAUCGGUCUAAGCACUCCCUGAACACUCGAUUCAUCAGGCUCAUGAACGCGGCCGGGGCAUUUGUAAGCCCAAACGGCAUCACGGUAAACUCGUAGUGUCCAUACCGCGUGCGAAACGCGGUCUUCGAAACAUCCUCCGGCUUAAUCUUCAACUGAUGGUAGCCGGAUUGGAGGUCAAUCUUGGAGUACACUCGCGACCCCUGUAACUGAUCAAACAAGUCGUCGAUGCGGGGUAACGGGUACUUGUUCUUCACAGUAACUUUAUUCAACUCGCGGUAAUCCACGCAGAGUCGAAAGGAUCCAUCCUUUUUGCGCACAAACAAUACCGGGGCUCCCCACGGUGACACGCUCGGCUUAAUAAACUCCUUGUCAAGAAGAUCCUGCAACUGAUCCCUCAACUCCCUUAACUCAGCCGGCGCCAUGCGAUAUGGGGCUUUGGUUAUCGGCGCGGUCCCGGGAAGCAAGUCUAUCAUGAACUCAAUUUCCCGGUCCGGCGGCAUCCCCGGUAACUCCGCCGGAAACACGUCCGGAAACUCUCGCACAACCUCCAACUCUUCAAGAGCCGGCACUACUCGGUCGACUUCCACAACGGUCGCCAAGUAAGCCAUACAACCGCUAUUGACCAGCUUCCUCGCUCUCGUUGCCGACACCGUCGCGGCGAAGCACGAACUUUUGCAAGCUCGAUAAGUAAACUCCUCAUGUCCCGGCUCCCGAAAUGUGAUCACCCUAGUCUUGCAGUCGAUAGACACAUAAUACUUCGAGAGCCAGUCCAUGCCCAAAAUGACAUCAAACUCCCUCAACCUCUUCAGCACUAACAGGUCGACCGGUAUAAUCCAGUCACCCACUUGUACUGGGCACGCUAAACACCGCUUCCUAACAAGGAAGGCUCGUCCCGGUCCUUCUACACGCCACACAUUCUCCCCGAGACUAAUCUCCAUACCAUGCACUUGUGCAAAUGAUCGGUUAAUGAAGGAGUGAGACGCGCCAAUAUCAAAAAGAGCUCUUGCCCGAACACCAUUGACCAAAACCAUACCUGCCACUACGUUGCGCUCCUCGGCUUCCACGGGCUCCUCUUCCUGCACUUGAGCGGCAUACAUCCUUCCGCUCGGAGCCGAUCGUGCAGGUUCAGGUUGACGUGGUGCCGCCGCACGUCCAGCCGACGCCGCAGCAGGUGGCAUAGCAUAACGAGCCGGAAUCGCCGGGGCCGAUGCAACAGAUGGAGCAGGUAAAGCCCCUCCUUGAGGGCAGUCGCGUGCGAUGUGCCCUGCUUGCCCGCAUCUAAAGCACUUUCCUCGGCGCUGAUCACACACACUGGGUCGAUGGUCACCGCCGCAAAAGAUACAUCGCUGCGCUCCACGGCCCUUUGGUUGCGAUCGUGGAUACUUCGGGGGCCUUCUCGAACUCGACUGUCCCCCCGAACCGCCGCCCGGUCGCUUCUUCCCUUUAUCCUUCUCGAACGUCUCACGAUCCUCACGCUCGCAGGCGUUCCCAUGCUCGACCCAUAAGGCGCGGUCCAAAGCCUCCGCAAAAGUAUGAAACUUGAAGGCAUGCACCAUCCGAAACACGCCGGGUCGGAGUCCUCUCACGAAGCAAUCUGCUCGGUCUUGCUCCGUUGUCGCCACGUCUGGGACGCAGUUCAAAAGAUGUGUGAACUCUCGCUCAUACUCCCGAACUGUGCGGUUGCCUUGCUUAAGCUUCUUGAAGUCUUCCCGCAUCUUUCUUUUGUCACUGUCGGGAAAGUGAUCCACGAACAUCAAUCUUCGGAACUCCUCCCAAUCGAUCGGGGGAAGAUCCGGAGAUCGGUCCUGCUUUACUCUCUUCCACCACACCCUGGCCCGCUUAUCAAAGCAAUGAGCGGCCAAAUUGACCUUGUCCCGCUCCUCUGUAUAGAUAUCCUCGAAUAGGGUCUCCAUCGAGGCCAACCAUGUCUCCACUGUCCAAGGAUCUAUCACUUCGCCGUCGAAUGUAGGCGGGUGGAACUUCGUAAACCUUGUGAGAGCCGUGUAGCCACGCUCUCGCUCCGCCUCCUCAGCCGCUGCUCUAGGCGUGGGAGACCUCGACGCCGCAGGAGGAACAUCCACCGGUAGGGGUUGCGCCGCCACCGGAACCGGCGCAUCACCCACACCCUCGGCCGCAUUGGGGGCGAGAACCGAAGGCGCAGGCGGGUCACAACCUUGUCCGACUGCCGCAGCCGCCGCCGCAGCUUGACGCUCCAUAAGCUCCUGGAGCCGAUCGAACCGCCCUGCUAACGCAGCAACUUGUCCCCGCAGUUCUUGCACCUCACUAGGCCCAGCUGGCUCUGGCGCCGCCGGGGGCACGGCUGACUCGGGCACCACUAGGGGUGGUGCCGGAGCAGUCCUACGCGCGUAGCGUCUCUUUGGUGCCAUUAGCUCCUGAAACGCAAACAAUCGGUCAAUUACUUAACCCAACGACGUUUUCGCAGUUACGAAAUGAUACGACUUAACCAAACAAAUCAGACGGAAGCUCAUAAGUGUACCCGUUCUUGACUCUCGGCCUUGUGUUGUCGGCCGCCAACACAAUCGCCUUAAGCCAAGGACUAGUAUCACUCAAUUGAUCUCUAGCAACUACUAGAGUAUCAACCCCACUUCGACCCAAUCGAUCAACUUUCGCCGCGUCAUAGGUUCACGUCGCACUCACGCACCUAUAACCUUAAGGCUCACCAUCCUAGGGUCUCCUAGGUCAGUCCUAGACUCUCUCUUUUGCUUGCUCUUACUCGCUCUGAUACCACAACUGUCACGCCCCCGCCCCGAGCCCGCUGCCAAUUUGGUCCGGAUCGAGCGCGGCGAACGGACGCCGAACGGACAGAGUCUCCUUUGUCCGCCCAAGGCUCAAACGACGAGAUCAUGUACACAAGAUCCCAAGAAAUACACUUGUUUACGUACAUGAUCAAACACUGAUAGCGAGAGCACAAACAGUGCUAAACAAACAAGAGCAAGCAACACAUGUAAGGCAUACAAGUGAUAAAAGAGAGAUGUACUUAGUUAUUAAUCCAUUUAACUUUAUACAAUUAUUACAACUUGCAUUCUUCCAAACUGUACAACAUAUAUACAACCCUCUCAAACCUCACCCUAUACAUCCAACUACUCUCAAAAUAGUACAAGGUACAGCUAAUGCAAAAGGAGGUAAGCUAGCUAUCAACAUGAACCACUAGGGCGCUACGCCCUUGCCGCGAUCCUCUCCAGGGGCGCUCGAACUCGGACCUGCAAUGUGGUGGAGUGAGAACUACGAAUAGUUCCCAGUGGGUUCGGCCGCCGACUCCGCCGAUCUCCCCACUAGGUCUUAAGCAGGCACAGAUAGAUAUGCAGAUAGAUGGAUAUGUAAGGCUGAAAGCAGUAAAAGUAAUGAGCAACUAUAAUCUAUCAAUGCCUCAAUCCAGUGUAAUGCAUGCAUGGAACUCAUAGCAAGAAAGCUGACUAUCACACUACCAUGUUCAACAACAAAGUCACUCAUCUGGUUACCCAAUCUCUCGGCGAACGCAAGGUUCGCUCACAAUCUCACGUCUCUAAGUCUCAUAGGGGAGGUGGCUAGCUAUUCACCAACCCCGAGACCGCCUGCGGACACUACACUGGUCCAAGGGCACUACACUGGCCCCCUCGCGUGCCAAACUCCGGAGUGCACUACCUGUGAGGAGCUACCUCCACAGGUGCAGACAGGCUAAGUGAGCUCGAUCCAAUCUCAUGAACUGGGAACACCCUAUUCAAUCAGGGGUGAUAGUAACAUAGUAUCUCAACUAUACUAGUGUUCUCAUGCCACUCUUGCACUAUUUAAUGCCACUCGUUCAAUGUUUAGGGUUAACUAGAUGCCACUCGUUCUCUUGACAAGUUCUUGCUACACUAGUUUCCAAUACACUAGGUUCAUAUUCACAUAAACAUAUUCAUCAUAUAUAGGGCGACUAUCUCAUAGUAUUUAACUCAUGCAUACUAGGUUUUCAUUCAUGGUAUCCGCGACCUAUACAUCACUAGCAUGCAAGGAUAUGCACAGUCACAUGUAACACCCUAUAAUACUAUAUCACAAUAUGCAAAUGGUCGAUAUUAGUACUCAGACAUAAAGAGUAGCCCGACUGCUUCGGGAUGGCACUCCCCCACCUCGUGGUGAUGCCGUGACUCUUCGAUCGCGAUUCGCCGACGUCUCAACGCCUCGUUGGCCUUCUAGGCGAGAACGAAGCUCCGAAGUUCUUCUUGGCGAUAACUCCGCACCCACUCGACGGAUCGACGAACCGUCUUCGCCGACGCGUUCAGAGACCUAGCAAUUUGGUUUGCGACCCAUCAAUUUAGAUCAAAACCCUAGAUUCGCCAAAAUCCCAUUUCUGAGCCCUAGAUCUCGAUACUGGAGAAAUCCGCGGUGCGAGCUUCGAUUUCGAGAUCGAACCUUCUCCCUAGCUCCAAUGGUUCCAUUUGAACCAAUUCCAAGCUAUAAAACCCUAGCUUCCAAAAUCCACCAUGAAAGGGUUUGAGGUUUACCUCAAUACCAAGCUCCAAGCUUGAAGAGGGAGAGAAGAAGACGAUCUUCUUCUUCUUCUUCUUAGUCUUCUCCUUCUCUUUCUCCUUCUUUUCCUUCCUCUCCUUCUUCUUCUUUUCCUUUCUAGAGAGAGAGAGAGAGAAAGAGUGUGAGAGGGGGAGAGAGCAAAUGAGGGAGAGAGAGGGGUCCCCAAGCCCUAUUAAAGGCCAUUUUGCAAAUAGCUCCCUCAACUUUUCAUCUUUAGAAUCAGCCCUCUCUGGGCAUUUUCGCAGUGAGGGACCGGUCCCAGCUCGGGGAGACCGGUCCCCGAAAGCUGCACAACCAGGCAGAGGGGAUUUCGCGUUCGGGAACCGGUCUUUGCCUGAGAGACCGGUCCCCGGGAGACCGGUCCUUGUCCGAGAGACCGGUUCCCGAGAGCAACACCUUCGGGACUUAGCCAAAUUUCGGCUUCUCUCGCUGGGCCAACGUUCGGGAACCGGUCCCUGCCUGCCAGGGACCGGUCUCAUCAGAGACCCCCGCAGCCCAGCUUGAUGGGACCGGUCCCUCCCUGCCAGGGACCGGUCCCCGAGAGCAUUUUUGCUCCAGUGCAGCUUUUGCACUGGUGCUCUCGCGGACACCUCCUCAAUGCACCUUAUGCGUUGUGAUCAACUUCGGACCUUUCGAAGCUUACACACUCGACAAUCAGUCGAUUCCUGGCGAAGUCUAAUCCUCGGGUUUCGAGAAUUCACUUCCCUUACAGUUAGACUACUCAGUUGAGCACUAAAAGUAUAACAUUGCAACUAGUACUUUUUCUCAUUCAAUCGAACAAAGAGCAAAACCUAAUUAUAUUGUUCUAUUAUGCCCCGAGAGUGUAAAUUUGGAACGAAUCGAUGUAAACGUUCACAAGAACCAAAACCGGAACAAAAUUAGACUACUCAGUUGAGCCCUAACAGUAUAACUUUGCAACUAGUAGUUUUUCUCAUUCAAUCGAACAAAGAGCAAAACCUAAUUAUUGUGUUCUAUUAUGCCCCGAGAGUGUAAAUUUGGAACGAAUCNNNN